rnacentral:tRNA from 1 species
GUUAACAUAGUUUAAGAAAAAUAUCAGACUGUGAAUCUGAAGAUAGGACAUAAGCAUCCUUGUUUACC